UGACACACAAAAGCAUCACUA
rnacentral:misc_RNA from 1 species